rnacentral:lncRNA from 1 species
AACUAAGGUGUUUUGAUAAGAUUUCACUAUUUUAUUCGUGUCACACCUCCUUUUUACCACCCCCGGAAGGGGUAUAAGGAGCUUUCCCAACUUAAGGUGACAAUCGAAAUAAGAUUAUUAUUUAAAGUUCAGAGUCACCACUUGGGAUAAUUUAUGGUGUCCCAAGUCACCGGUUCAAAUCCAGAAUUAAGGAAAAGAUUGACUCUGUUUAUAAUCCGCGAACACAGAAAUCCGGGUAAGGAAUUUUGUUAACCCAAGAGAAGGUGUUAGACAUUUUCGGAUUCUGUGAUUUCAGCACGAUCGCUCAACUUUUACUAUUGGCCUAAUUAUCUGAUUUUAAAACACAUUUUAGCCUUUGGUAGAUUUU